CUCUUGAUGAAUUGCUUGAUGCUAGGGGUGACAUCAGUUUCUGAUUCAGCCAUGUUUUGCCUUGCAAAACUUUCAAAGAUUGCAGCCUUGACAGGAGAAGGAAUGGGCAAGAAACUUUGAUCUACAUCCAUGUGAAAGAAGACUUUUCUUCCUCACCAAUUGACAACUCAGAAUCAUUGAGAACUGAAAUAGCAGAACUAGCAAACCCAAUUGCGUCAACUGAUUUGGCUUUUUCACAUUCCCUCUCUGCAAGCG
rnacentral:misc_RNA from 1 species